rnacentral:rRNA from 1 species
CCUACGGGAGGCAGCAGUGGGGGAUAUUGCACAAUGGGGGAAACCCUGAUGCAGCGACGCCGCGUGGGCGAAGAAGUAUUUCGGUAGGUAAAGCCCUAUCAGCAGGGAAGAAGAAAGGACGGGACCUGAGUAAGAAGCACAGGCUAAAGACGUGCCAGCAGCCGCGGUAAUACGUAUGGUGCAAGCGUUAUCCGGAUUUACGGGGUGGAAAGGGAGCGCAGGCGGCACGGCAAGCCUGAUGUGAAAGCCCGCGGCCCAACCGCGGGACUGCAUUGGAAACUCCCGGGCUGGAGUGCCGGAGAGGUAGGCGGAAUUCCUCUUGUAGCGGUGACAUGCGUCGAUCUUAGGAGGAACCCCAGUGGCGAAGGCGGCCUACUGGACGGUGACUGACGCUGCGGCUCGACAGCGUGGGGAGCAAACAGGAUUAGAUACCCCUGUAGUC